UAUGUGAUCGUCUCUCGCAUAUCAAUAAGCGGAGGAAAAGAAACUAACAAGGAUUCCCCUAGUAACGGCGAGUGAAGCGGGAAGAGCUCAAAUUUGAAAUCUUAAAGGGUUUCCCUUUACGAAUUGUAGUUUAAAGAAGUGUUUUCUGUUGAGGUUUUGGUAAAAGUUCUUUGGAAUAGGACAUCAUAGAGGGUGAGAAUCCCGUAUUUGACCUUUACUUUCAACUUUGUGAUACACUUUCAAAGAGUCCGGAUUGUUUGGGAAUGCAGUCCAAAAUGGGUGGUAAAUUUCAUCUAAAGCUAAAUAUUGGCGAGAGACCGAUAGCGAACAAGUACCGUGAGGGAAAGAUGAAAAGAACUUUGAAAAGAGAGUUAAACAGUACGUGAAAUUGUCAAAAGGGAAGCGUUUGACACCAGUGUUGUUUUUCUGAAAAUCAAUUAAAGAACUGUUUAUGCUAAGCUGUUUAGACUUUAUCAGCUAACUGUUUAGUUUUGAGCUUUUCUUUAAUGCACUUUUCAGUUAACAAGUCAACAUCAAUUUCUUUUGCUGUAAAAAAGCUUGAGGAAGGUGGCUUGAGAUUCGUCUUAAGUGUUUAUAGCCUCUUGCCUAUGCAGUCGGAGAGAUUGAGGUCUGCAGCGUAGAUCCUUCGGGGCUAAAUGCAUUUGUGCUAAGUUAUAGCAUUUUAUAGACAACUUGUUGACUAUGAUUUGUCUUGUAGCUUACUCGCUUAUGUUAUUUUACCUACGCUUAGGAUGUUGACUGAUAUGUAGUCGU
rnacentral:rRNA from 1 species